CUGUGUGGAAGAAACGGGGGUGUUGGUUGACACUCGGCUAAACAUGAGCCAGCAGUGUGCCCAGGGGGCCAAGAAGGCCAGUGGCAUUCUGGCUGGUAUCAGAAAUAGGGCAGCCAGCAGGAGCAGGGAGGUGAUCGUCCUUCUGUAUUCAGCUCUGGUGAGACUGAACCUUGAGUACUGUGUCCAGUUUUGGGCCCCUCGCUACAAGAAAGACAUCGAGGCCCUGGAGCGUGUCCAGAGAAGGACAACAAAGCUGGUGAGGGGUCUGGAGCACAGACCUUAUGGGGAGCAAUUGAGGGAGCUGAGAUUAUUCAGCCUGGAGAAGAGGAGGCUCGGGGGACACCUCACUGCUCUCUGCAACUGCCUGAAAGGAGGUCAUGUGUGGGUUUCUUGACGAGCCACUAGCAAGAGGUCCACAAGGACUCUUCUGGUGUGGGCCCACUUGAUCGACACGAGGACAGACUGCCCUCUGGAGAGCUGGAUCUUCACACCAAGAGAAACUGGGGAGGCAGAGAGAAGCAACUGGCACUUAGCAACUCCUGUUGGACUUGUUUUCCUGAUCAGAAGCUGCUUAGUGGAAGGCAGAAGCUGGUGAUCAAAGGUGAAGUGAAUCAUCCCGUCAGUGAAGAUCCAUUUUGCUACUGAUCCAUGCCUUCUUCAACUCUAGGCUUUCCUCUUUCCAGAAGAGCAGCAGUUCCCUGAAAAGCAG
ensembl:lncRNA